rnacentral:rRNA from 1 species
GAUGAACGCUGGCGGCGUGCCUAAUACAUGCAAGUCGAGCGCAGCGGGGACGGUUGAGUAACACGUGGAUAACCUCCUAUAAGACUGGGAUAACUUCGGGAAACCGUAGCUAAACCGGCUACUUAUAGGUGGAUCCGCGCUGCAUUCGCUAGUUGGUAAGGUAACGGGUUACCAAGGCAACGAUGCAUAGCCGACCUGAGAGGGUGAUCGGCAACACUGGAACUGAGACACGGUCCAGACUCCUACGGGAGGCAGCAGUAGGGAAUCUUCGGAAAUGGGCGAAAGCCUGACGGAGCAACGCCGCGUGAGUGAGGAAGGUCUUCGGAUCGUAAAACUCUGUUAUGAGGGAAGCGGUAACUAAUCAGAAAGCCACGGCUAACUACGUGCCAGCAGCCGCGGUAAUUC